UACGAGCCUUUGGUCGAUGAUCAAUGGCCACACAAACCCCAUUUUUGUCGAAAAUAGCCAUGAACGACCAUUUUCAAUGACACUAAAGGCUAACACCUACGGAUUUCUGACCAAGAAAUGGUCUCCACCAUAAAUCCAAGAAUGUGAUCUAUGGCAAGGAAACAUAUGUGUAGUGAGGUGUAUGAGCCUCUGGUCGAAGAUCAAUGGCCACACAACCCCCAUUUUUGUCGAAAAUAGCCAUGAACGACCAUUUUCAAUAGUACCGAAGGCUAAAACAUUCAGAUUUUUGACCAAGAAAUGGUCUCCACCAGAAAUCAAAGAAUGUGAUCUAUGGCAAGGAAACAUAUGUGGGGUGAGGUUUACGAGCCUCUGGUCGAUGAUCAAUGGCCACACAACGCCCAUUUUUGUCGAAAAUAGCCAUGAAUGACAAUUUUCAAUAAUACUGAAGGCUAACACGUACAGAUUUUUGACCAAGAAAUGGUCUCCACCGGAAAUCCAAGAAUGUGAUCUAUGGCAAGGAAACAUAUGUGGGGUGAGGUGUACGAGCCUUUGGUCGAUGAUCAUUGGCCACACAACCCCCAUUUUUGUCGAAAAUAGCCAUGAAUGACCAUAUUCAAUAAUACCAAAGGCUAACACGUACGGAUUUUUGACCAAGAAAUGGUCUCCACCAGAAAUCCAAGAAUGUGAUCUAUGACAAGGAAACAUAUGUGGGGUGAAUUGCACGAGCCUCUGGUCGAUGAUAAAUGGCCACACAACCCCCAUUUUAGUCGAAAAUAGCCAUGAACGACCAUUUUCAAUAAUACUGAAGGCUAACACCAACAGAUUUUUGACCAAGGAAUGGUCUCCUCCAGAAAUCCAAGAAUGUGAUCUAUGGAAAGAAAACAUAUGUUGGGUGAAGUGUACGAGCCUCUGGUCGAUGAUCAAUGGCCACACAACCCCCAUUUUUGUCGAAAAUAGCCAUGAACGACCAUUUUCAAUGACACUAAAGGCUAACACCUAUGGAUUUCUAACCAAGAAAUGGUCUCCACCAUAAAUCCAAGAAUGUGAUCUAUGGCAAGGAAAAUAUGUGUAGUGAGGUGUAUGAGCCUCUGGUCGAAGAUCAAUGGCCACACAACCCCCAUUUUUGUCGAAAAUAACCAUGAAUGACCAUUUUCAAAAAUACCAAAGGCUAACACAUUCGGAUUUUUGCCUAAGAAAUGGUCUCCACCAGAAAUCCAAGAAUGUGAUCUAUGGCAAGGAAACAUAUGUGGGGUGAGGUGUACGAGCCUCUGGUCGAUGAUCAAUGGCCACACAACCCCCAUUUUGCCGAAAAUAGCCAUGAACGACCAUUUUCAAUAAUACCGAAGGCUAACACGUACGAGUUUUUGACCAAGAAAUGGUCUCCACCAGAAAUCCAAGAAUGUGAUCUAUGGCAAGGAAACAUAUGAGGGGUGAGGUUUAUGAGCCUCUAGUAGAUGAUAAAUGGCCACACAACCCCCAUUUUUUAUGAAAAUAGCCAUGAGCGACCAUUUUCAAUAAUACUAGAGGCUAAGACCUACGGAUUUUUGACCAAGAAAUGGUCUCCACCAGAAAUCCAAGAAUGUGAUCUAUGGCAAGGAAACAUAUGUGGGGUGAGGUGUAUGAGCCUCUGGUCGAUGAUCAAUGGCCACACAACCCCCAUUUUUGUCGAAAAUAGCUAUGAACGACCAUUUUCAAUAAUACUGAAGGCUAACACCUACGGAUUUUUGACCAAGAAAUGGUCUCCACCAUAAAUCGAAGAAUGUGAUCUAUGGCAAGGAAACAUAUGUGUAGUGAGGUCUAUGAGCCUCUGGUCGAAGAUCAAUGGCCACACAACCCCCAUUUUUGUCGAAAAUAGCCAUGAAUGACCAUUUUCAAAAAUACCAAAGGCUAACACAUUCAGAUUUUUGCCCAAGAAAUGGUCUCCACCAGAAAUCCAAGAAUGUGAUCUAUGGAAAGGAAACAUAUGUGGGGUGAGGUGUACGAGCCUCUGGUCAAUGAUCAAUGGCCACACAACCCCCAUUUUGCCGAAAAUAGCCAUGAACGACCAUUUUCAAUAAUACCGAAGGCUAACACGUACGAGUUUUUGACCAAGAAAUGGUCUCCACCAGAAAUCCAAGAAUGUGAUCUAUGGCAAGGAAACAUAUGUGGGGUGAGGUUUAUGAGCCUCUAGUCGAUGAUAAAUGGUCACACAACCCCCAUUUUUUAUGAAAAUAGCCAUGAGCGACCAUUUUCAAUAAUACUAGAGGCUAACACCUACGGAUUAUUGACCAAGAAAUGGUCUCCACUAGAAAUCCAAGAAUGUGAUCUAUGGCAAGGAAACAUAUGUGGGGUGAGGUGUAUGAGCCUCUGGUCGAUGAUCAAUGGCCACACAACCCCCAUUUUUGUCGAAAAUAGCCAUGAACGACCAUUUUCAAUAAUACCGAAGGCUAACACCUACGGAUUUUUGACCAAGAAAUGGUCUCCACCAGAAAUCCAAGAAUGUGAUCUACGGCAAGGAAACAUAUGUGGGGUGAGGUGUAUGAGCCUCUGCUCGACGAUCAAUGGCCACACAACCCUAUUUUUGUCGAAAAUAGCCAUGAACGACCAUUUUCAAUGACACUGAAGGCUAACACCUAUGGAUUUUUGACCAAGAAAUGGUCUCCACCAUAAAUCCAAGAAUGUGAUCUAUGGCAAGGAAACAUAUGUGUAGUGAGGUGUAUGAGCCUCUGGUCGAAGAUUAAUGGCCACACAACCCCCAUUUUUGUCGAAAAUAGCCAUGAAUGACCAUUUUCAAAAAUACCAAAGGCUAACACAUUCGGAUUUUUGCCCAAGAAAUGGUCUCCACCAGAAAUCCAAGAAUGUGAUAUAUGGCAAGGAAACAUAUGUGGGGUGAGGUGUACGAGCCUCUGGUCGAUGAUCAAUGGCCACACAACCCCCAUUUUGCCGAAAAUAGCCAUGAACGACCAUUUUCAAUAAUACCGAAGGCUAACACGUACGAGUUUUUGACCAAUAAAUGGUCUACACCAGAAAACCAAGAAUGUGAUCUAUGGCAAGGAAACAUAUGUGGGGUGUGGUUUAUGAGCCUCUAGUCGAUGAUAAAUGACCACACAACCCCCAUUUUUUAUGAAAAUAGCCAUGAGCGACCAUUUUCAAUAAUACUAGAGGCUAAGACCUACAGAUUUUUGACCAAGAAAUGGUCUCCACCAGAAAUCCAAGAAUGUGAUCUAUGGCAAGGAAACAUAUGUGGGGUGAGGUGUAUGAGCCUCUGGUCGAUGAUCAAUGGCCACACAACCCCCAUUUUUGCCGAAAAUAGCUAUGAACGACCAUUUUCAAUAAUACUGAAGGCUAACACCUACGGAUUUUUGACCAAGAAAUGGUCUCCACCAGAAAUCCAAGAAUGUGAGCUACGGCAAGGAAACAUAUGUGGGUGAGGUGUAUGAGCCUCUGGUUGAUGAUCAAUGGCCACACAACCCUAAUUUUUGUCGAAAAUAGCCAUGAACGGCCAUUUUCAAUGACACUGAAGGCUAUCACCUACGGAUUUUUGACCAAGAAAUGGUCUCCACCAUAAAUCGAAGAAUGUGAUCUAUGGCAAGGAAACAUAUGUGUAGUGAGGUCUAUGAGCCUCUGGUCGAAGAUCAAUGGCCACACAACCCCCAUUUUUGUCGAAAAUAGCCAUGAAUGACCAUUUUCAAAAAUACCAAAGGCUAACGCAUUCGGAUUUUUGCCCAAGAAAUGGUCUCCACCAGAAAUCCAAGAAUGUGAUCUAUGGAAGGAAACAUAUGUGGGGUGAGGUGUACGAGCCUCUGGUCAUGAUCAAUGGCCACACAACCCCCAUUUUGCCGAAAAUAGCCAUGAACGACCAUUUUCAAUAAUACCAAGGCUAACACGUACGAGUUUUUGACCAAGAAAUGGUCUCCACCAGAAAUCCAAGAAUGUGAUCUAUGGCAAGGAAACAUAUGUGGGGUGAGGUUUAUGAGCCUCUAGUCGAUGAUAAAUGGUCACACAACCCCCAUUUUUUAUGAAAAUAGCCAUGAGCGACCAUUUUCAAUAAUUCUAGAGGCUAACACCUACGGAUUAUUGACCAAGAAAUGGUCUCCACUAGAAAUCCAAGAAUGUGAUCUAUGGCAAGGAAACAUAUGUGGGGUGAGGUGUAUGAGCCUCUGGUCGAUGAUCAAUGGCCACACAACCCCCAUUUUUGUCGAAAAUAGCCAUGAACGACCAUUUUCAAUAAUACCGAAGGCUAACACCUACGGAUUUUUGACCAAGAAAUGGUCUCCACCAGAAAUCCAAGAAUGUGAUCUACGGCAAGGAAACAUAUGUGGGGUGAGGUGUAUGAGCCUCUGCUCGACGAUCAAUGGCCACACAACCCUAUUUUUGUCGAAAAUAGCCAUGAACGACCAUUUUCAAUGACACUGAAGGCUAACACCUAUGGAUUUUUGACCAAGAAAUGGUCUCCACCAUAAAUCCAAGAAUGUGAUCUAUGGCAAGGAAACAUAUGUGUAGUGAGGUGUAUGAGCCUCUGGUCGAAGAUUAAUGGCCACACAACCCCCAUUUUUGUCGAAAAUAGCCAUGAAUGACCAUUUUCAAAAAUACCAAAGGCUAACACAUUCGGAUUUUUGCCCAAGAAAUGGUCUCCACCAGAAAUCCAAGAAUGUGAUUAUGGCAAGGAAACAUAUGUGGGGUGAGGUGUACGAGCCUCUGGUCGAUGAUCAAUGGCCACACAACCCCCAUUUUGCCGAAAAUAGCCAUGAACGACCAUUUUCAAUAAUACCGAAGGCUAACACGUACGAGUUUUUGACCAAUAAAUGGUCUACACCAGAAACCAAGAAUGUGAUCUAUGGCAAGGAAACAUAUGUGGGGUGAGGUUUAUGAGCCUCUAGUCGAUGAUAAAUGACCACACAACCCCCAUUUUUAUGAAAAUAGCCAUGAGCGACCAUUUUCAAUAAUACUAGAGGCUAAGACCUACGGAUUUUUGACCAAGAAAUGGUCUCCACCAGAAAUCCAAGAAUGUGAUCUAUGGCAAGGAAACAUAUGUGGGGUGAGGUGUAUGAGCCUCUGGUCGAUGAUCAAUGGCCACACAACCCCCAUUUUUGCGAAAAUAGCUAUGAACGACCAUUUUCAAUAAUACUGAAGGCUAACACCUACGGAUUUUUGACCAAGAAAUGGUCUCCACCAGAAAUCCAAGAAUGUGAGCUACGGCAAGGAAACAUAUGUGGGGUGAGGUGUAUGAGCCUCUGGUCGACGAUCAAUGGCCACACAACCCUAUUUUUGUCGAAAAUAGCCAUGAACGCCAUUUUCAAUGACACUGAAGGCUAUCACCUACGGAUUUUUGACCAAGAAAUGGUCUCCACCAUAAAUCGAAGAAUGUGAUCUAUGGCAAGGAAACAUAUGUGUAGUGAGGUCUAUGAGCCUCUGGUCGAAGAUCAAUGGCCACACAACCCCCAUUUUUGUCGAAAAUAGCCAUGAAUGACCAUUUUCAAAAAUACCAAAGGCUAACACAUUCAGAUUUUUGCCCAAGAAAUGGUCUCCACCAGAAAUCCAAGAAUGUGAUCUAUGGAAGGAAACAUAUGUGGGGUGAGGUGUACGAGCCUCUGGUCAUGAUCAAUGGCCACACAACCCCCAUUUUGCCGAAAAUAGCCAUGAACGACCAUUUCAAUAAUACCGAAGGCUAACACGUACGAGUUUUUGACCAAGAAAUGGUCUCCACCAGAAAUCCAAGAAUGUGAUCUAUGGCAAGGAAACAUAUGUGGGGUGAGGUUUAUGAGCCUCUAGUCGAUGAUAAAUGGCCACACAACCCCCAUUUUUUAUGAAAAUAGCCAUGAGCGACCAUUUUCAAUAAUAUUAGAGGCUAACACCUACGGAUUUUUGACCAAGAAAUGGUCUCCACCAGAAAUCCAAGAAUGUGAUCUAUGGCAAGGAAACAUAUGUGGGGUGAGGUGUAUGAGCCUCUGGUCGAUGAUCAAUGGCCACACAACCCCCAUUUUUGUCGAAAAUAGCCAUGAACGACCAUUUUCAAUAAUACCGAAGGCUAACACCUACGGAUUUUUGACCAAGAAAUGGUCUCCACCAGAAAUCCAAGAAUGUGAUCUACGGCAAGGAAACAUAUGUGGGGUGAGGUGUAUGAGCCUCUGGUCGACGAUCAAUGGCCACACAACCCUAUUUUUGUCGAAAAUAGCCAUGAACGACCAUUUUCAAUGACACUGAAGGCUAACACCUAUGGAUUUUUGACCAAGAAAUGGUCUCCACCAUAAAUCCAAGAAUGUGAUCUAUGGCAAGGAAACAUAUGUGUAGUGAGGUGUAUGAGCCUCUGGUCGAAGAUAAUGGCCACACAACCCCCAUUUUUGUCGAAAAUAGCCAUGAAUGACCAUUUUCAAAAAUACCAAAGGCUAACACAUUCGGAUUUUUGCCCAAGAAAUGGUCUCCACCAGAAAUCCAAGAAUGUGAUAUAUGGCAAGGAAACAUAUGUGGGGUGAGGUGUACGAGCCUCUGGUCGAUGAUCAAUGGCCACACAACCCCCAUUUUGCCGAAAAUAGCCAUGAACGACCAUUUUCAAUAAUACCGAAGGCUAACACGUACGAGUUUUUGACCAAGAAAUGGUCUCCACCAGAAAUCCAAGAAUGUGAUCUAUGGCAAGGAAACAUAUGUGGGGUGAGGUUUAUGAGCCUCUAGUCGAUGAUAAAUGGCCACACAACCCCCAUUUUUUAUGAAAAUAGCCAUGAGCGACCAUUUUCAAUAAUACUAGAGGCUAACACCUACGGAUUUUUGACCAAGAAAUGGUCUCCACCAGAAAUCCAAGAAUGUGAUCUAUGGCAAGGAAACAUAUGUGGGGUGAGGUGUAUGAGCCUCUGGUCGAUGAUCAAUGGCCACACAACCCCCAUUUUUGUCGAAAAUAGCCAUGAACGACCAUUUUCAAUAAUACUGAAGGCUAACACCUACGGAUUUUUGACCAAGAAAUGGUCUCCACCAGAAAUCCAAGAAUGUGAUCUACGGCAAGGAAACAUAUGUGGGGUGAGGUGUAUGAGCCUCUGGUCGACGAUCAAUGGCCACACAACCCUAAUUUUUGUCGAAAAUAGCCAUGAACGACCAUUUUCAAUGACACUGAAGGCUAACACCUACGGAUUUUUGACCAAGAAAUGGUCUCCACCAUAAAUCCAAGAAUGUGAUCUAUGGCAAGGAAACAUAUGUGUAGUGAGGUUAUGAGCCUCUGGUCGAAGAUCAAUGGCCACACAACCCCCAUUUUUGUCGAAAAUAGCCAUGAAUGACCAUUUUCAAAAUACCAAAGGCUAACACAUUCAGAUUUUUGCCCAAGAAAUGGUCUCCACCAGAAAUCCAAGAAUGUGAUCUAUGGAAGGAAACAUAUGUGGGGUGAGGUGUACGAGCCUCUGGUCGAUGAUCAAUGGCCACACAACCCCCAUUUUGCCGAAAAUAGCCAUGAACGACCAUUUUCAAUAAUACCGAAGGCUAACACGUACGAUUUUUGACCAAGAAAUGGUCUCCACCAGAAAUCCAAGAAUGUGAUCUAUGGCAAGGAAACAUAUGUGGGGUGAGGUUUAUGAGCCUCUAGUCGAUGAUAAAUGGCCACACAACCCCCAUUUUUAUGAAAAUAGCCAUGACGACCAUUUUCAAUAAUAUAGAGGCUAACACCUACGGAUUUUUGACCAAGAAAUGGUCUCCACCAGAAAUCCAAGAAUGUGAUCUAUGGCAAGGAAACAUAUGUGGGGUGAGGUGUAUGAGCCUCUGGUCGAUGAUCAAUGGCCACACAACCCCCAUUUUUGUCGAAAAUAGCCAUGAACGACCAUUUUCAAUAAUACCGAAGGCUAACACCUACGGAUUUUUGACCAAGAAAUGGUCUCCACCAGAAAUCCAAGAAUGUGAUCUACGGCAAGGAAACAUAUGUGGGGUGAGGUGUAUGAGCCUCUGGUCGACGAUCAAUGGCCACACAACCCUAUUUUUGUCGAAAAUAGCCAUGAACGACCAUUUUCAAUGACACUGAAGGCUAACACCUACGGAUUUUUGACCAAGAAAUGGUCUCCACCAUAAAUCCAAGAAUGUGAUCUAUGGCAAGGAAACAUAUGUGUAGUGAGGUGUAUGAGCCUCUGGUCGAAGAUCAAUGGCCACACAACCCCCAUUUUUGUCGAAAAUAGCCAUGAAUGACCAUUUUCAAAAUACCAAGGCUAACACAUUCGGAUUUUUGCCCAAGAAAUGGUCUCCACCAGAAAUCCAAGAAUGUGAUCUAUGGCAAGGAAACAUAUGUGGGGUGAGGUGUACGAGCCUCUGGUCGAUGAUCAAUGGCCACACAACCCCCAUUUUGCCGAAAAUAGCCAUGAACGACCAUUUUCAAUAAUACCGAAGGCUAACACGUACGAGUUUUUGACCAAGAAAUGGUCUCCACCAGAAAUCCAAGAAUGUGAUCUAUGGCAAGGAAACAUAUGUGGGGUGAGGUUUAUGAGCCUCUGGUCGAUGAUAAAUGGCCACACAACCCCCAUUUUUGUCGAAAAUAGCCAUGAACGACCAUUUUCAAUAAUACUGAAGGCUAACACCUACGGAUUUUUGACCAAGAAAUGGUCUCCACCAGAAAUCCAAGAAUGUGAUCUAUGGCAAGGAAACAUAUGUGGGGUGAGGUGUAUGAGCCUCUGGUCGAUGAUCAAUGGCCACACAACCCCCAUUUUUGUCGAAAAUAGCCAUGAACGACCAUUUUCAAUAAUACCGAAGGCUAACACCUACGGAUUUUUGACCAAGAAAUGGUCUCCACCAGAAAUCCAAGAAUGUGAUCUAUGGCAAGGAAACAUAUGUGGGUGAGGUGUAUGAGCCUCUGGUCGACGAUCAAUGGCCACACAACCCUAAUUUUUUGUCGAAAAUAGCCAUGAACGACCAUUUUCAAUGACACUGAAGGCUAACACCUACGGAUUUUUGACCAAGAAAUGGUCUCCACCAUAAAUCCAAGAAUGUGAUCUAUGGCAAGGAAACAUAUGUGGGGUGAGGUGUAUGAGCCUCUGGUCGAAGAUCAAUGGCCACACAACCCCCAUUUUUGUCGAAAAUAGCCAUGAACGACCAUUUUCAAAA
rnacentral:lncRNA from 1 species